rnacentral:rRNA from 1 species
UAGUGGGGGAAACGUUUCGAAAGGAACGCUAAUACCGCAUACGUCCUACGGGAGAAAGCAGGGGACCUUCGGGCCUUGCGCUAUCAGAUGAGCCUAGGUCGGAUUAGCUAGUUGGUGGGGUAAUGGCUCACCAAGGCGACGAUCCGUAACUGGUCUGAGAGGAUGAUCAGUCACACUGGAACUGAGACACGGUCCAGACUCCUACGGGAGGCAGCAGUGGGGAAUAUUGGACAAUGGGCGAAAGCCUGAUCCAGCCAUGCCGCGUGUGUGAAGAAGGUCUUCGGAUUGUAAAGCACUUUAAGUUGGGAGGAAGGGCAGUAAGCUAAUACCUUGCUGUUUUGACGUUACCGACAGAAUAAGCACCGGCUAACUCUGUGCCAGCAGCCGCGGUAAUACAGAGGGUGCAAGCGUUAAUCGGAAUUACUGGGCGUAAAGCGCGCGUAGGUGGUUUGUUAAGUUGGAUGUGAAAGCCCCGGGCUCAACCUGGGAACUGCAUCCAAAACUGGCAAGCUAGAGUACGGUAGAGGGUGGUG